GCAGCUCAGUUGGUAGAGCAUGAUGCUUUGAAUCUCAGGGUUGUGGGUUCAAGCCCCACAUUGGGCA